CACUUCUUCUGAGGGAGUGAAGAAAGAGGCCAAGUUCAGAAUUGUACCAAUUGACUACCUUGACCUGGACAUAAGCACCAGAAUGGUUGCACUCAACAACAAAGACUGUACUGGGAAUAGAAAGAUGAACAAGACAGUGCACUUCCCUUCAAAGAGCUUACAGAAUCACAACCAGCAGAGAGAUUUUAAAGGCCUCUUGCUGCAUGAGAUGGAACAGUAAGACCAGAGGGAUCCUGUUUCUUCAUUUAUUUCAGUACCAGCAACCCCAUUGAGUUCAUCACAUCCUCAUUUUGUAAACACUGCAUGCCUUAUUCCCAUCUCCAGAUGCAUAUGCAAAUGCAUAUGCCCCAAAACUAAUUACAGAUGCAUAUGCUCCAAAAACCAGUUAUGGUGUUGAAAGUCUUCCUGUACAAUAAUCUCCUGAGGUGGCCUGGGUUAUAACACGGUGCAUGUCACAUAAAGAGAGUCUCAUGCUUUGAUAUGAAACCAAGCUACUUUAACAUAGACUACUCUGGGAUCCAUACAGGACAAUACAUCUGUUACUAAUAAUGGAAGAUAAAAAGCAGAUGGAAUAGCAAUAACAACAACUAAAGGACAGAAAAACCUAGCAACCACAAGGCAAGAGCAAGAUAAAAAUAAGAAUAAUAAAAGAUAAAUGCACGAAUUCCUAAACACCUUCCUCCUCUUCUCUCAGGAGUUCCAAUGCCUGAAUAGGAAAAUAACAGACAUCCCAGAAGAAUACUGAACAAUGCAUACAAAUAAGUACAUCGCUGAAGAAGCAAACUGCCCAAUAAAGUCUUCAAUCU
rnacentral:lncRNA from 10 species